GUUUAAAUGGGAAGUUUCUGAUGUAGUAAAAAAUCCUCAGAAACGCUGUAAUAUUCUAAGAAUGUUUUAAUACAGUGUGGAGGUUUGACAUGUGUUUAAUUUCGAGAUCUCGCGUCAUCUUAUUCCACUGUUAAUUCGUAAGAUUUUAUAACUACAUAAUGGGCCUCGAGAGCCAGGCGUUGGCGCAGAACUAGUUAGUCCACAGAAAACCUUAAAUCAUCGCACAGAAUUUAAUCAGUCAAAUAGCUAUAAGAUAAUAGACAUUACAACCGCUCAGCUUAAUGAACACGAUAGAAUCCAAGAGUGUAAUAAUGCUUGCGAAUUGGAAGAAGAUAACGAACGCAUGAGAAAGAGGUCAGAUGAUGGAAGUGAAAUAACAUGUUCUCAAUGGGAAUUAGAUAUGCGAGCUAACAUAGAAAAUCUCAAUAAUAUACCGCCGCAUUUAAGUUGUAGUUUUUCCCAAACGAACAAGUUUCUACACAGAAUUUUAA